GAUUCCCUAUGGGGUGCAGCAGGCGCGCAAACUUUACAAUGCGAGCAAUCGUGAUAAGGAAACCCUGAGUGCCUGUCGAUGCAGGCUGUUCAUAUAUCUAAAUCAUAUGUGAAGAAAGGGCAGGGCAAGACCGGUGCCAGCCGCCGCGGUAAUACCGGCUGCUCGAGUGAUGGCCACUAUUACUGGGUUUAAAGCGUCCGUAGCUUGACUGUUAGGUCUCUUGGGAAAUCUUCACGCUCAACGUGAAGGCGUCUAAGAGAUACCGGCAGUCUUGGAACUGGGAGAGGUAAACCGUACUUCGGGGGUAGGAGUGAAAUCUUGUAAUCCUCGAGGGACGACCUAUGGCGAAGGCAGUUUACCAGAACAGCUUCGACAGUGAGGGACGAAAGCUGGGGGAGCAAACGGGAUUAGAUACCCCGGUAGUCCCAGCCGUAAACAAUGUGCGUUAGGUGUGUCGGUAACCACGUGUUACUGAUGCGCCGAAGAGAAAUCGUGAAACGCACCACCUGGGAAGUACGGUCGCACGGCUGAAACUUAAAGGAAUUGGCGGGGGAGCACCACAACAGGUGGAGCCUGCGGUUUAAUUGGAUUCAACGCCGGACAUCUCACCGGAUAAGACAGCUGAAUGAUUGUCAAUCUGAAGGUUUUACAUGACUAGCUGAGAGGUGG
rnacentral:rRNA from 1 species